rnacentral:tRNA from 1 species
GACGAGGUGGCCGAGUGGUUAAGGCGAUGGACUGCUAAUCCAUUGUGCUCUGCACGCAUGGGUUCUAAUCCCAUCUUCGUCG